rnacentral:rRNA from 1 species
CCUACGGGAGGCUGCAGUGAGGAAUAUUGGUCAAUGGGCGCGAGCCUGAACCAGCCAAGUCGCGUGAGGGAAGACGGUCCUAUGGAUUGUAAACCUCUUUUGCCGGGGAGCAAAAGACGCCACGCGUGGCGUUCAGAGAGUACCCGAAGAAAAAGCAUCGGCUAACUCCGUGCCAGCAGCCGCGGUAAUAUGGAGGAUGCGAGCGUUAUCCGGAUUUAUUGGGUUUAAAGGGUGCGCAGGCGGAAGAUCAAGGCAGCGGUAAAAUUGAGAGGCUCAACCUCUUCGAGCCGUUGAAACUGGUUUUCUGGAGUGAUCGAGAAGUAUGCGGAAUGCGUGGUGUAGCGGUGAAAUGCAUAGAUAUCACGCAGAACUCCGAGUGCGAAGGCAGCAUACCGGCGCUCAACUGACGCUCAUGCACGAAAGUGUGGGUAUCGAACAGGAUUAGAUACCCGAGUAGUC